CGGUGUAGCACGAUGGAAUCUGGUGGCUUAAACCUAGCUGUCCACAUUUCACUAUCUGAAGAGCAGAAAAUGUGUUAAUAGGAGCCUGGUGAGUGGAGGAGACUGAAGAUGGAGAGAGAGCCUGGACCUCAACAUGAGCAUCUGGAGCCAUUUGGCAGCAUUAGGCUGUGACCGCUUAGAGAACCGAAAGGUGCAGAGCUUUAAAGGAUUAUGGAGUCUGAAGACCAAAUGGGAUGAUGGAGAACAGCUAUUCAGUGGUACAAAUGUAAAUGCUCCCAGGCCCGGGCAGAAAAGAGAAAACAUUUCCAUGGAAGAGGAAACAGGAAAUUCCAACAGAUCAGCAACAGUUGGAGUGCUAACCUGUCACUGGAAUGGGAAAAAAAAUGCUGUCGUUGACACAUCUUUUCCUUGUUUUUGACACAAAUUAGAAACACCACCUGGAACACAGCUGUGACUUGAUAAACAAGUGAAACAUUCUUUGGUGUGGUGAGGGGAAAACAAAUUUCUCAAAGGACACGCACCAUGGUGUAUGAGAGGACACUGGAGCCCAGCCAGCAUCUGACAUGCUGAAUUCAAAGUGCAGGUGAAAGUAGGACAACUGAUUCACAAGCUGGGAUGCCUGUGUUGUUGUUUGCCAGUGUGCGUGUGUGUGUUUUCCUGGCACCCUUCAUUCAUUCCCCAGCACAGUUGACAUCAGGUUGGAAGCAGUGAGUUCUGAGGGAGACUGCUAGAGGACCCAACUUGGAGAAUCAACGAUCUGCGAUGAAGAUAAUGAAGAUAAAGACAAUGUCAAUGUCAGCGUCCAAAAUCAUAAGGACCCUUUAAGAAGCUUCCAGAGCAGAAGUGACUGUGCAAGAAGGGCCAAUAAAGUCUAGGCAAUGCACGACCAGGCGCGGUCGCUCACGCCUGUAAUCCCAGCACUUUGGGAGGCCGAGGUGGUUGGAUUACCUGAGGUUAGGAGUUUGAGACCAGCCUGACCAACAUAGUUUCACCCCAUCUCUACUAAAAAAAAAAAAAAAAACAAAACAAAAGUUAGCCAGGUGUGGUGCUGCACACCUGUAAUCCCAGCUACUCUGGAAGCUGAGGCAGGAGAAUCGCUUGAACCCAGGAGGCGGAGGUGGCAGUGAGCUGAGAUUGCACCGCUGCACUCCAGCCUGGGCGACAGAGUGAGACUCUGUCUCAAAAAUAAAUAAAUAAAUAAAUAAUAAAGUCUAGGCAAUGC